CUUGCUUCUCUGGAUGAGUUGCGAACGGGUGAGUAACGCGUAGGUAACCUGCCUGGUAGCGGGGGAUAACUAUUGGAAACGAUAGCUAAUACCGCAUAAGAGUAGAUGUUGCAUGACAUUUGCUUAAAAGGUGCAAUUGCAUCACUACCAGAUGGACCUGCGUUGUAUUAGCUAGUUGGUGGGGUAACGGCUCACCAAGGCGACGAUACAUAGCCGACCUGAGAGGGUGAUCGGCCACACUGGGACUGAGACACGGCCCAGACUCCUACGGGAGGCAGCAGUAGGGAAUCUUCGGCAAUGGACGGAAGUCUGACCGAGCAACGCCGCGUGAGUGAAGAAGGUUUUCGGAUCGUAAAGCUCUGUUGUAAGAGAAGAACGAGUGUGAGAGUGGAAAGUUCACACUGUGACGGUAUCUUACCAGAAAGGGACGGCUAACUACGUGCCAGCAGCCGCGGUAAUACGUAGGUCCCGAGCGUUGUCCGGAUUUAUUGGGCGUAAAGCGAGCGCAGGCGGUUAGAUAAGUCUGAAGUUAAAGGCUGUGGCUUAACCAUAGUACGCUUUGGAAACUGUUUAACUUGAGUGCAAGAGGGGAGAGUGGAAUUCCAUGUGUAGCGGUGAAAUGCGUAGAUAUAUGGAGGAACACCGGUGGCGAAAGCGGCUC
rnacentral:rRNA from 1 species